rnacentral:rRNA from 1 species
UACGGGGGGGGCAAGCGUUGUUCGGAAUUACUGGGCGUAAAGGCUAGUAGGUGGCCAACUAAGUCAGACGUGAAAUCCCUCGGCUUAACCGAGGAAUGGCGUCUGAUACUGGAUGGCUUGAGUUUGGGAGAGGGAUGCAGAAUUCCAGGUGUAGCGGUGAAAUGCGUAGAUAUCUGGAGGAACACCGGUGGCGAAGGCGGCAUCCUGGACCAACACUGACACUGAAUAGCGAAAGCCAGGGGAGCAAACGGG